GUCCAGGGGUGGGAAACGAACCCACGACCUUCCGCUUACCGGGCAGAUGCCAUGUCCACUAGGCUACCCUGGA
rnacentral:tRNA from 1 species